rnacentral:pre_miRNA from 1 species
UGAUUAGUUAGUGCAGGCGGAGGGUUCCAAAGGGAUCGCAUUGAUCUACUGAUUCCUCCAUUAAAUGAGUUAAAAUUCUCACUUUUUUAUUCAUUGGAUCAUGCGAUCCCUUAGGAAUUCUCCACCUAUAGCUCUAAAUUCA